rnacentral:rRNA from 1 species
GGCCUAACACAUGCAAGUCGAACGAUAAGCCACCUUCGGGUGGUGGACAGUGGCAGACGGGUGAGUAACGCGUGGGAACGUGCCUUUCGGUUCGGAAUAACCCAGGGAAACUUGGGCUAAUACCGGAUACGCCCUUCGGGGGAAAGUUCAUUGCCGAAAGAUCGGCCCGCGUCGGAUUAGCUAGUUGGUGGGGUAAUGGCUCACCAAGGCGACGAUCCGUAGCUGUCUGAGAGGAUGACCAGCCACACUGGGACUGAGACACGGCCCAGACUCCUACGGGAGGCAGCAGUGGGGAAUAUUGGAAAUGGGCGCAAGCCUGAUCCAGCCAUGCCGCGUGGGUGAAGAAGGCCUUAGGGUUGUAAACCCCUUUCAGCGGGGAAGAUAUGACGGUACCCGCAGAAGAAGUCCCGGCUAACUCCGUGCCAGCAGCCGCGGUAAUACGGAGGGGAC